GUUUCGGUAAUGUAGCGGUUAUCACGUGCGCCUAAUAUGUGCAAGGUCCCGAGUUCAAUCCUGGGCGGAAACA
rnacentral:tRNA from 1 species